rnacentral:rRNA from 1 species
UACGUAGGGGGCAAGCGUUGUCCGGAAUCAUUGGGCGUAAAGCGCGUGUAGGCGGCUCGGUAAGUCUGCUGUGAAAGUCCAGGGCUCAACCCUGGGAUGCCGGUGGAUACUGUCGGGCUCGAGUCCGGAAGAGGCGAGUGGAAUUCCUGGUGUAGCGGUGGAAUGCGCAGAUAUCAGGAGGAACACCGAUGGCGAAGGCAGCUCGCUGGGACGGUACUGACGCUGAGGCGCGAAAGCGUGGGGAGCGAACAGG